AUUGAACGCUGGCGGCAGGCUUAACACAUGCAAGUCGAGCGGAGUGAUGGUGCUUGCACUAUCACUUAGCGGCGGACGGGUGAGUAAUGCUUAGGAAUCUGCCUAUUAGUGGGGGACAACAUCUCGAAAGGGAUGCUAAUACCGCAUACGUCCUACGGGAGAAAGCAGGGGAUCACUUGUGACCUUGCGCUAAUAGAUGAGCCUAAGUCGGAUUAGCUAGUUAGUGGGGUAAAGGCCUACCAAGGCGACGAUCUGUAGCGGGUCUGAGAGGAUGAUCCGCCACACUGGGACUGGGACACGGCCCAGACUCCUACGGGAGGCAGCAGUGGGGAAUAUUGGACAAUGGGGGGAACCCUGAUCCAGCCAUGCCGCGUGUGUGAAGAAGGCCUUAUGGUUGUAAAGCACUAUAAGCGAGGAGGAGGCUCUUUUGGUUAAUACCCAAGAUGAGUGGACGUUACUCGCAGAAUAAGCACCGGCUAACUCUGUGCCAGCCGCCGCGGUAA
rnacentral:rRNA from 1 species